CCUACGGGUGGCUGCAGUGGGGAAUAUUGCACAAUGGGCGCAAGCCUGAUGCAGCCAUGCCGCGUGUGUGAAGAAGGCCUUCGGGUUGUAAAGCACUUUCAGCGGGGAGGAAGGCGGUGAGGUUAAUAACCUCAUCGAUUGACGUUACCCGCAGAAGAAGCACCGGCUAACUCCGUGCCAGCAGCCGCGGUAAUACGGAGGGUGCAAGCGUUAUUCGGAAUUACUGGGCGUAAAGCGCACGCAGGCGGUCUGUCAAGUCGGAUGUGAAAUCCCCGGGCUCAACCUGGGAACUGCAUUCGAAACUGGCAGGCUAGAGUCUUGUAGAGGGGGGUAGAAUUCCAGGUGUAGCGGUGAAAUGCGUAGAGAUCUGGAGGAAUACCGGUGGCGAAGGCGGCCCCCUGGACAAAGACUGACGCUCAGGUGCGAAAGCGUGGGGAGCAAACAGGAUUAGAUACCCCAGUAGUC
rnacentral:rRNA from 1 species